UUCUAUCUCAAAGAAUCUGGUCAAGAAAACC
rnacentral:piRNA from 1 species